rnacentral:rRNA from 1 species
AUUGAACGCUGGCGGCAUGCUUUACACAUGCAAGUCGAACGGUAACAGGCCGCAAGGUGCUGACGAGUGGCGAACGGGUGAGUAAUGCAUCGGAACGUGCCCAGUCGUGGGGGAUAACUACUCGAAAGAGUAGCUAAUACCGCAUACGAUCUAUGGAUGAAAGCGGGGGACCGUAAGGCCUCGCGCGAUUGGAGCGGCCGAUGUCAGAUUAGGUAGUUGGUGGGGUAAAGGCUCACCAAGCCAACGAUCUGUAGCUGGUCUGAGAGGACAACCAGCCACAUGGGAAUGGAGACACGGCCCGGACUCCACGGGAGGGCGGCGUGGGGAAAUUUUGACAAUUGGCGGCAGGCCUAUCCAAGAAAUGCCGCGGGAAGGAAGAAGCCCUCCGGGUGGUAAACGGUUUUGGUAGGGAAGAAAAGGGCUCUGGUAAAUACCCGGGCUAAUGACGGUACCGUAAGAAUAAGCACCGGCUAACUACGUG